UACGGAGGGUGCAAGCGUUAUCCGGAUUCACUGGGUUUAAAGGGUGCGUAGGUGGGUUGGUAAGUCAGUGGUGAAAUCUCCAGGCUUAACUUGGAAACUGCCAUUGAUACUAUCAAUCUUGAAUACCGUGGAGGUCAGCGGAAUAUGUCAUGUAGCGGUGAAGUGCUUAGAUAUGACAUAGAACACCAAUUGCGAAGGCAGCUGGCUACACGAAUAUUGACACUGAUGCACGAAAGCGUGGGGAUCAAACAGG
rnacentral:rRNA from 1 species